rnacentral:lncRNA from 1 species
UAGAAGUAAUAGAUGGUCGACCUUUAUCUUCUCAAGAUGUUACUUAUGAAAUAAUUCCAUUAAUAAUAAUCUUUGACAACCAUAGCAGCCAAGUAGUAUUCAACGUUUUCAAGGUAGAGAGAAUUUACCUCAAGAAAAUGCUAGGCUUUUGGCUAUCACUAAUCAUUCAAUCAAGCUUCAAAAUAAGGGAAGACCUAAGUUUAUAUAUAAAUUUUUCUUUUUGAGCAAUUACACCAAAUACACAAGCCUCAAGUAACCAGCAAUAUCUAAAAUAUGAUAAAUCCUUUAAAACCUUGUAUAUCCUUAUGUCGAAAUUUUUCUGAACUUCAAUAGCUCAUAUCUCCUAAUCCGACCGUCCAAACAAACUCAAAUUUUACAUGAGAUACUAAUAUAUUCUUAUUAAAUUCUACAACAAAUUUCAACCACAAAUACAUUGCGGAUCUUAAGAAAUCUUAAAAAU